rnacentral:piRNA from 1 species
UGAGGUUGCCUCUCACAAGAUGACAGUU